UAGCCCUUAAGCUUUACACGCGUUAGACGAACGGUCUGGAAAGUCCGACGAUACAGGGUGAUAGUCCCGUAGUUGACGACGUGUGUUCAGUGAAAUCGAGUAGGGCGGGACACGUGAUAUCCUGUCUGAAUAUGGGGGGACCAUCCUCCAAGGCUAAAUACUACUGACUGACCGAUAGUGAACCAGUACCGUGAGGGAAAGGCGAAAAGAACCCCUGUGAGGGGAGUGAAAUAGAACCUGAAACCGUGUACGUACAAGCAGUAGGAGCAGGCUUUGUCCUGUGACUGCGUACCUUUUGUAUAAUGGGUCAGCGACUUAUAUUCAGUGGCAAGGUUAACCAUCUAGGGGAGCCGUAGGGAAACCGAGUCUUAACUGGGCGUUCAGUCUCUGGAUAUAGACCCGAAACCAGGUGAUCUAGCCAUGGGCAGGUUGAAGGUUGAGUAACAUCAACUGGAGGACCGAACCGACUAAUGUUGAAAAAUUAGCGGAUGACUUGUGGCUAGGGGUGAAAGGCCAAUCAAACCUGGAGAUAGCUGGUUCUCCCCGAAAGCUAUUUAGGUAGCGCCUCGGACGAAUACUACUGGGGGUAGAGCACUGUUAAGGCUAGGGGGUCAUCCCGACUUACCAACCCUUUGCAAACUCCGAAUACCAGUAAGUACUAUCCGGGAGACACACGGCGGGUGCUAACGUCCGUCGUGGAGAGGGAAACAACCCAGACCGCCAGCUAAGGUCCCAAAUUACUACUAAGUGGGAAACGAUGUGGGAAGGCUCAGACAGCCAGGAUGUUGGCUUAGAAGCAGCCAUCAUUUAAAGAAAGCGUAAUAGCUCACUGGUCGAGUCGGCCUGCGCGGAAGAUGUAACGGGGCUAAGUAGUAAACCGAAGCUGCGGCAAUGUGCUUUUGCACAUUGGGUAGGGGAGCGUUCUGUAAGCGGUUGAAGGUGUGUGGUAACGCAUGCUGGACGUAUCAGAAGUGCGAAUGCUGACAUGAGUAACGAUAAAGGGGGUGAAAAACCUCCUCGCCGGAAGACCAAGGGUUCCUGUCCAACGUUAAUCGGGGCAGGGUAAGUCGACCCCUAAGGCGAGGCCGAAAGGCGUAGUCGAUGGGAAACGGGUUAAUAUUCCCGUACUUCUUACAAUUGCGAUGGGGGGACGGAGAAGGCUAGGUGGGCCUGGCGACGGUUGUCCAGGUUCAAGUGCGUAGGCUUAAGAGUUAGGUAAAUCCGGCUCUUUUUAAGGCUGAGACACGACGUCGAGCCACUACGGUGGUGAAGUCAUUGAUGCCAUGCUUCCAGGAAAAGCCUCUAAGCUUCAGAUUGUAAGGAAUCGUACCCCAAACCGACACAGGUGGUCGGGUAGAGAAUACCAAGGCGCUUGAGAGAACUCGGGUGAAGGAACUAGGCAAAAUGGUACCGUAACUUCGGGAGAAGGUACGCUCUUGAUGGUGAAGUCCCUCGCGGAUGGAGCUGACGAGAGUCGCAGAUACCAGGUGGCUGCAACUGUUUAUUAAAAACACAGCACUGUGCAAAAUCGUAAGAUGACGUAUACGGUGUGACGCCUGCCCGGUGCCGGAAGGUUAAUUGAUGGGGUUAGACUUCGGUCGAAGCUCUUGAUCGAAGCCCCGGUAAACGGCGGCCGUAACUAUAACGGUCCUAAGGUAGCGAAAUUCCUUGUCGGGUAAGUUCCGACCUGCACGAAUGGCGUAAUGAUGGCCACGCUGUCUCCACCCGAGACUCAGUGAAAUUGAAAUCGCUGUGAAGAUGCAGUGUACCCGCGGCUAGACGGAAAGACCCCGUGAACCUUUACUACAGCUUGGCACUGAACAUUGACCCUACAUGUGUAGGAUAGGUGGGAGGCUUUGAAGCACGUACGCCAGUAUGUGUGGAGCCGUCCUUGAAAUACCACCCUUGUAGUGUUGAUGUUCUAACGUCGACCCCUUAUCGGGGUUGCGGACAGUGCCUGGUGGGUAGUUUGACUGGGGCGGUCUCCUCCCAAAGAGUAACGGAGGAGCACGAAGGUGGGCUAAUCACGGUUGGACAUCGUGAGGUUAGUGCAAUGGCAUAAGCCCGCUUGACUGCGAGAAUGACAAUUCGAGCAGGUGCGAAAGCAGGUCAUAGUGAUCCGGUGGUUCUGAAUGGAAGGGCCAUCGCUCAACGGAUAAAAGGUACUCCGGGGAUAACAGGCUGAUACCGCCCAAGAGUUCAUAUCGACGGCGGUGUUUGGCACCUCGAUGUCGGCUCAUCACAUCCUGGGGCUGAAGUCGGUCCCAAGGGUAUGGCUGUUCGCCAUUUAAAGUGGUACGCGAGCUGGGUUUAGAACGUCGUGAGACAGUUCGGUCCCUAUCUGCCGUGGGCGUUGGAAGAUUGAAGGGGGCUGCUCCUAGUACGAGAGGACCGGAGUGGACGAACCUCUGGUGUUCGGGUUGUGUCGCCAGACGCAUUGCCCGGUAGCUAAGUUCGGAAUCGAUAACCGCUGAAAGCAUCUAAGCGGGAAGCGAGCCCUGAGAUGAGUCUUCCCUGAUACUUUAAGUAUCCUAAAGGGUUGUCGGAGACUACGACGUUGAUAGGUCAGGUGUGUAAGUGCUGUGAGGCAUUGAGCUAACUGAUACUAAUUGCCCGUGAGGCUUAACCAU
rnacentral:rRNA from 1 species